UACGUAGGGGGCAAGCGUUGUCCGGAUUCAUUGGGCGUAAAGCGCGUGUAGGCGGCCAGGUAGGUCCGGUGUGAAAAGUCGAGGCUCAACCUCGAGAGGUCAUCGGAAACCAUCUGGCUAGAGUCCGGAAGAGGAGAGUGGAAUUCCCGGUGUAGCGGUGAAAUGCGCAGAUAUCGGGAAGAACACCUAUGGCGAAGGCAGCUCUCUGGGACGGUACUGACGCUGAGACGCGAAAGCGUGGGGAGCGAACAGG
rnacentral:rRNA from 1 species